rnacentral:rRNA from 1 species
GGGUUUGUAAAUGCAUGAGGAUGGUUUGUGGCGAGGACAUUGGACAUAAGUGGCACGACCGACCGGUAAAAACUGUGCCUUCACGCAAUGGCUGUGGUGGUCGGAGGGGCGUAUAUUUUUUUCGAGGCUCUAGUUUAAGGGGGGUUGGCGUCUGGUGGUACCGUCAGAGGUUCGAGCGGCGGCACAGAGAUGACGACGAAAGCCGGAGCGAGCGCCGGCACGACGAGGAGGCGGGGAGGCCGCGUCUGCUGCCGCCGCGGGGCACCCCGCGCCCGUCGCCGCCGUAGGAGUGGCGGGACGGCAAGUCGGGGCGCCUGCAGGACGGGGAGGACGGCUCCGCGCAGCGCUACCGCCGGGAGGCACGCGAGGCGCCGCGCAGCCUGUAGAAGGGCCACAAGCACCCGCGCCGCUGCCGGCCCGGCCGCGUCCGCCCGUGGCGCGGCCACCCGACCUUUCCUCGGACGAAGAUGCUCUUGCUCCGGACCGACAGGAAGGUGUUGCUGAGGCCGAGGUUCAUGCCGCCGCCGUGCCAGGUGGAGUUCUGUUGCUUUCGUGUAUCGACCUGAACAUACCUAGAAAUACACAAACGAUGAGGCAUGGCACAAUGUACCCUAAUGAUGAAAGAUCCGGCACUCGUAUGGGAACUUUAGUUUCUUACCCUUUCGUUCCGGCUUAUACUGAUGCACUUUGUAUUACCUCACAGGUAGAAGGAGUACGGCAGUCCUUGUUAGCCCUGUGAGUCUCGUGAGACCCUACAAAAGGGAGAAAAGUGUUUAUGACCUACCCCACUCUUACGUUUGGAACGUAAAGAGUUUUUCGUAUACCCACGCUGGAAACUCCUUGCUGGUUUUGGCACCCAAAGUCUUAAUUUAGGACUACUGUAGGUUAGACCUCUAAAAAACCAAAAUAGUUUUUAGGCACCUGCGACCCCACCAAAACUUUGGGAACUCUUCACCCAAUGGCCUCGAAUACGUCCGGUAUGACGUCAAACGGACUCCCUGAGACUUCCUUUCGACACCCAACCUCUUAGACCAGUACUUUUACUCCUCCCUCUUCUAUAAUAACGACAGAACGGUACCCUUCUUACCACCCUCAAACUUUGCUGUUUCCUACUAAGCUUAGGAGUCUAACGUAACGAAGGUAAUGCAGUUCUAAAUGCUCGUUUUAAAUUACUCUGUCGUCGAACCUAAAUACGCUUCUUUUACUUACCCUUCGGAAUACCCAUAGUAUUAUACUAAAAGUCAACCUAGCUAUGAUAUUCAUUGUUGAUAGGUGGUGGUAACCUACGAGUGCACCAACGUAGACAAUACUGACACACCUUGUUCGAAGUUGGUCUGAUGCGCCGAUCGUACACCUGUCUUCGGGAAUUGUUCGCCGACCCUUGCUUCCCAGAACUAGAUGGACUUUAGUAUCACCUUAGUCUCUUUGCACCCUACUGUAAACUGUUUAACGACUGUUAAGGACUCUUUCUAUUAACCCAGAUGUGACUACCGGUUAGUCGUAGAACACACCGGAUGCAGGAGUACUACAUGUUCCUCCGACCUGAGAAACUUGGUUAAAGGUCGAGAUAUCUUCAGUGCCUCAAGUGCUAUUUUCUACGAAUGUAGGACUUGAAGAAACUUCGGUUGUACUGUGCCGAAGGCAGCACCACGUUGUUUCUGCUGUGACACUUCGAGGGCAAAACGGUUUAGUUCCCGUCUAUAGCUUACCUUGACGGUCCUAUGUUACGGUACCUUGGUAUGCGAGUGUACUUACUUUCCACACGUAGCGACGGGGGCCUGAUGGACUCCCUACUCUUGACGACUCAUGAGUAUAAAUUGGCACGCGGGUACGCUAAACUAACAUGAGGGAAAAUCAGUCAUGAAGUCGACAUGUAUAGUGCCAUCCAGACCUUAUAAAGGGUACUACGUGCGGCCGAACGGUGCUCCAUGCUAGUUGAAGGAGCUUAUUCCGGUGCCACCGUGUUAACAUAUCAUUUUUUCGAGACGUAGACCGCGCGUCGACGACAGUACAAGACUUUUGUAAGUAUCACAAAAACGGUCUUUUAUCUAUGUGCAAACUGUUUCUACAUACACGUGGCAACAUAAGUCGACUAAUCUUUACCAACCUUUGGAUACAUGUGAUACAUCUUCACGAUAAACCAAACCGAGCAUAACAAGUUAACGGUAGGAUACUCGCCACAUUUUCGAGGUUCAACUUAACAACCAAACGACAAAACAGCAUUAACUAUGUAGUUGCAUGUUACACUAACAUAA